rnacentral:rRNA from 1 species
CAGUCGCCGCGGUAAUACGUAGGGUGCAAGCGUUAAUCGGAAUUACUGGGCGUAAAGCGUGCGCAGGCGGUUAUAUAAGUCAGAUGUGAAAUCCCCGGGCUCAACCUGGGAACUGCAUUUGAGACUGUAUGGCUAGAGUGUGUCAGAGGGGGGUAGAAUUCCACGUGUAGCAGUGAAAUGCGUAGAGAUCGGGAGGAAUACCGAUGGCGAAGGCAGCCCCCUGGGCCAAUACUGACGCUCAUGCACGAAAGCGUGGGGAGCAAACAGGAUUAGAUACCCCUGUAGUCCCUGUCUCUUAUAC